rnacentral:rRNA from 1 species
AAAAACUCCGGUGGUAUACGAUGGAUCCGCGUCUGAUUAGCUGGUUGGCGGGGUAACAGCCCACCAAGGCGACGAUCAGUAGCCGGCCUGAGAGGGUGAACGGCCACAUUGGGACUGAGACACGGCCCAAACUCCUACGGGAGGCAGCAGUGGGGAAUAUUGCACAAUGGGGGAAACCCUGAUGCAGCGACGCCGCGUGAGUGAAGAAGUAUUUCGGUAUGUAAAGCUCUAUCAGCAGGGAAGAAAAUGACGGUACCUGACUAAGAAGCCCCGGCUAACUACGUGCCAGCAGCCGCGGUAAUACGUAGGGGGCAAGCGUUAUCCGGAUUUACUGGGUGUAAAGGGAGCGUAGACGGCAGCGCAAGUCUGAAGUGAAAUCCCAUGGCUUAACCAUGGAACUGCUUUGGAAACUGUGCAGCUGGAGUGCAGGAGAGGUAAGCGGAAUUCCUAGUGUAGCGGUGAAAUGCGUAGAUAUUAGGAGGAACACCAGUGGCGAAGGCGGCUUACUGGACUGUAACUGACGUUGAGGCUCGAAAGCGUGGGGAGCAAACAGGAUUAGAUACCCUGGUAGUCCACGCCGUAAACGAUGAAAUCUAGGUGUUGGGGGACCAAGGUCCUUCG